GAUGAACGCUGGCGGCGUGCCUAAUACAUGCAAGUAGAACGCUGAAGCUUGGUGCUUGCACCGAGCGGAUGAGUUGCGAACGGGUGAGUAACGCGUAGGUAACCUGCCUCUUAGCGGGGGAUAACUAUUGGAAACGAUAGCUAAUACCGCAUAAAAGUCGACAUCGCAUGAUGUUGACUUGAAAGGUGCAAUUGCAUCACUAAGAGAUGGACCUGCGUUGUAUUAGCUAGUUGGUGAGGUAACGGCUCACCAAGGCGACGAUACAUAGCCGACCUGAGAGGGUGAUCGGCCACACUGGGACUGAGACACGGCCCAGACUCCUACGGGAGGCAGCAGUAGGGAAUCUUCGGCAAUGGGGGCAACCCUGACCGAGCAACGCCGCGUGAGUGAAGAAGGUUUUCGGAUCGUAAAGCUCUGUUGUAAGAGAAGAACGAGUGUGAGAGUGGAAAGUUCACACUGUGACGGUAACUUACCAGAAAGGGACGGCUAACUACGUGCCAGCAGCCGCGGUAAUACGUAGGUCCCGAGCGUUAUCCGGAUUUAUUGGGCGUAAAGCGAGCGCAGGCGGUUAGAUAAGUCUGAAGUUAAAGGCUGUGGCUUAACCAUAGUACGCUUUGGAAACUGUUUAACUUGAGUGCAUAAGGGGAGAGUGGAAUUCCAUGUGUAGCGGUGAAAUGCGUAGAUAUAUGGAGGAACACCGGUGGCGAAAGCGGCACUCUGGUCUGUAACUGACGCUGAGGCUCGAAAGCGUGGGGAGCAAACAGG
rnacentral:rRNA from 1 species